GCAGUAAGCAGGCGGGCAGGCUGGGAUUUUGCAUGGAAAUCAUGAGCCCUGCCUUGCUUUUCUUUUCUGAAAUGUUUUGGAAGGAGAGUUAUGAAUAGCCCAGAAAUAGGUCUCAUUUUUGUGGGUGGGAAGAAUGACCAGAAACAUGAAAGCUAAACCUUCCAGCAAGUGCAAGGUAUUUCUCGUGGAGGGUGCAGUGAACCCGGGAGGAGGAAUUGCCUUCUGUGAACUUCUAAAGCAUCACAUCUGGAGGGAAGAGGACGGUAAAGCGGUGGCAUAGCGCAGAGGAUGCUGCUGAGAGCUUCGGUCUGCCUUUAACUCAUUGUGCUUCCUCGAUGUUGGCCUGGUUCUGUUCCUCAUAGGCCAUGGCUACCACAGCCAGGAUCAAGUUUAUCAGAUAAAAGGAGCCCAGGAAGAUCACCACAACAAAGAAAAUCAUGUGUGGACUGUGAUGUUGGUCCCAUGACAGUGGCCCUGGAGACUCUGGAGGAUGACAAAGGAGGACCUGAGCCCAGCAGUACAGCAUUCUAAGAUUCGGUUUCUACCUCUGAAUUAUUUCUAUUAAUUUUAUUUUCCUACAAAAGGGAGCUUGAAGAUCAGAGGAGCCAGUUGUUCUCUCCUUCCACCAGGAUCUCAGUUCCAGUGACAGGAAAAGCAUUGUGGAAGACCAGGCAUGCGUUUUGGUAACACUGCGAAAUGAGAACUGCAGACUCCAAUGGUGCUUGACACUGUCUGUACAUAUGGCACUGAAGGAGAUACUGUGUCCUUCCUUCACAAGUCUCGACACCCAAGUGGGAUGACAAGAUCACUAAACUAACUAAAGAUUUCUUCUUUUUAUCUAAUGGGGUUUCUUCCUUUAUAUACUGUAAAGGAAGGCAGUAACUAAACAAAAAAUGGCAAAUUCAUUUACAACAAAGUGUUUUGGGAAAUAUUGAGCAAUUACCAGAAACAUAUUCUAGGCACUCUGUGGCCUAGAAUCAGGUCAUUGAUGAAACUGUACUGUGUGACCACAGCUAGCCAGCUUCUGGGAAUACCAGUCUCCUCUCUCUCCCUCUCCCUCUCUCUCCCUUUUUCUGAUUUUUUUUAUCAAUUGUUUCGGACAGGAUAUAAAAUAAUAGAUAUUGGGGGUUGGUGAUUUAACUCAGUGGUAGAGCACUGGCCUAGCAAGUGCAAGGCCCUGGGUUCUGUCCUCAGCUCCAGAAAACGAACAAAAACCAAAAUAAUAGAUUUCAUCAUGACUUAUUCAUAUAUACUAUCUAUGCCAUUAUACUUUGUUCCUGAUUAUUCUCCACAGCCUUCCUCCACACCCUUCCCCACUCGAGCUGAUUAACUUUCUUCCCCCAGCUAGUCCUAAGUUCUACAUUAUUAUUGCAUAUAUUUUAUUAGCAUCUCUGCUUCCUAACUCCCUCAUUGUAUCUUCCUUCGCAUGAUACUCUUUCUAGUUUCAUGACCUACACCCAUGUACAGAAAUGUCUAAAUACGUAUCUAUAUACACACAGAUUUAAGUGAAUGCCUAUUAAAGAGCCAGAAGAAAUGCAACAGUUCAGUUGGUUUCGGUGCAAAUUUGCAGAGAAGGCUAAAGUGAGGCAUUGAAUCUUCUGACCUAAUAGGUGAACUUUAAUUGAGACAGACACGGGUGUUGAUGAACAGAUGGGAAGAAAGGGGAAAGAUCAAGGUAAUUGCUUAGAUAGUGUGUCUAUUAUAUACACUGGUGAUUAAUUUUGUGUUACCAAUAAUGCAUUGCUGUCACACUAAGGUAAGAAAUAAAAAUACUUCCCCUUGGAAUCAUGUCAUAAAUAAAUAAAUAAAUAUUCUGCGUAUGAGAAAAAUCAUGCAGUGUUUCUCUUUCUGAGUCUUUUUAAAUUUCACUUAACAAUAUGAUUUCCAGUUACAUCUGUUUUUCUUCAAAUGUUAUUAUUUCAUU